UGCCAGAGACAGAAUGUAUCACACCUGACUAUGAGGCUCUGGGAAGGAAGGUGAAGGAGCCUGGGCUCAGAUGGUGUUCUCAGCAAUUCUUCCUGUAAAAGGAAGGGCCUACAGAGAGAAGAAUAUUCAGCACUUGAAAUCACUGACAUACAAGACUGAGGCUGAAACCAUCUUUGUAAUCCUCUCCACCUAGACCCUCGAGUGGGAGAGGAAUGGGUUCAACAUUUCCAACACCAGGCCUGCCAAUCCUGAUACAAUGGACUUGCCAAGACAAUGUAACUGUGCCCUGUAACUGGAUGGAGCUAUGGCGCAGCUGCAUGGCUCAUCACAAAGCAAUUGUCCUGCAGAACUUAACACAACAUGGAAAUCCUUCCUACAGGCAAAAAAAUAAAACAAUUAAAAGAAGGAAUGGAAUGGAUGGGAAACCCACCUGAAGUACAAGCUGCACACUUCUGGUUUAAUGUAAUGAUCAGGCUAGUCUGUUUAACAUUGUGAAUUCCUUCUCUUUGGUCUACAAAACCAUACAUUGCAAUAAAGUAAGCACUAGCCCCAAUUGUCUAUUCAUACAAAUUACCUUUCCAAGAGAUGGCAGAAAAAACUGACAAUUUACAGCAAUGGUAUGCAACUAAAAAAGCGACAUGGACAUCUAAAACUUUUCAUUGUUAUUUUUGAGGUUUUUUUGGACAAGCUUGUUUACCUAACAAAGCCAGAUAAUGAAACAUUUUUAAUACUUGUUCUAAAAAAAAUAAGAGUGCAGUUUUAAUUAGACCAUUGUUCAUGCACGUGUGUAUGUAAAAUAUUAUUCUACCACAUUUAACUUAGAUGCAUUGUUUUGGAAUGCCCUUAAAAUGUUUUUUUAGACUGCAUAAAUGUCUAAGAUAAACUAAAACUAUUCAAGACUCCAUAGAUUACAGAUGUUAAGGCAGA